rnacentral:pre_miRNA from 1 species
CAAAUACUCCCUCUGUCCGGAAAUACUUGUCAUCAAAAUGGAUAAAAGGAAAUGUAUCUAGACGUAUUUUAGUUUUAGAUACAUCUCUUUUUAUCCAUUUUGAUGACAAGUAUUUUCGGAUCGAGGGAGUAGAAA